UAGGGAAUAUUGGGCAAUGGAGGGAACUCUGACCCAGCCAUGCCGCGUGCAGGAUGAAGGCGUUAUGCGUUGUAAACUGCUUUUAUAUAGGAAGAAAUAGUCCUUGCGAGGAAAGUUGACGGUACUAUAUGAAUAAGCACCGGCUAACUCCGUGCCAGCAGCCGCGGGUAAUACGGAGGGUGCAAGCGUUGUCCGGAUUUAUUGGGUUUAAAGGGUGCGUAGGCGGUUUAUUAAGUCAGUGGUGAAAGACGGUCGCUCAACGACUGCAGUGCCAUUGAUACUGGUAGACUUGAGUAUGAUUGAGGUAGCUGGAAUGGAUAGUGUAGCGGUGAAAUGCAUAGAUAUUAUCCAGAACACCAAUUGCGUAGGCAAGUUACUAAGUCAUAACUGACGCUGAGGCACGAAAGUGUGGGUAUCAAACAGGAUUAGAUACCCCUGUAGUCCCUGAGCGGGCUGGCAAGGCGCAU
rnacentral:rRNA from 1 species